UACGAAGGGGGCUAGCGUUGUUCGGAAUUACUGGGCGUAAAGCGCACGUAGGCGGGUUGUUAAGUCAGGGGUGAAAUCCUGGAGCUCAACUCCAGAACUGCCUUUGAUACUGGCAACCUAGAGACUGGAAGAGGUUAGUGGAAUUCCCAGUGUAGAGGUGAAAUUCGUAGAUAUUGGGAAGAACACCAGUGGCGAAGGCGGCUAACUGGUCCAGUACUGACGCUGAGGUGCGAAAGCGUGGGGAG
rnacentral:rRNA from 1 species